AAAAAAUAAAGCAGGAAAGGAAUAUACCAGGGUUGGGGAACAAGGUGGAAUUAUAAUUUUAGAUAUAGUAGCCAGGGAAGGUUUCACUGAGUAAAUAAUCUUUGAUCGAAGUCCAGGAAGAUGAGGAAGUUGUUACGUGAAGCAGUGAUUUAACCAGUUCUUAUUCAAGGCAAUUCAGAAGGCAUGUGAAUGUUACUGCAAUGAUCUGUGCUUUUCUGCAGAAAAUGAAUAAUUCAAGCAGAAAUAGCUAAAGGUACAAACUUCUAUUAAAUUGCUUGUUCUUUAGUCUCUGCAGGAGAUAUAGUAAUAACUGAAGUGUUACACAGGUGGAGACGGGAAACGUUAGUUGCUAAGAACUUUGGAUUACCACCGCUAGGAAACCAGCCACUUGGAAGACCAAUCAAUAAAGGAGUGUUCAACUCAAUAUUUCACCUGAUACAAGAUGAUGAAACGGGCUAUCAGAAAUACAGAAAUAACGAUGAAGGCAUGGAGUGGAUGAUCAAGCUCAGGUCAUUGGCUCCAGAACUCAGACUCUUGGUCACCACUAUGCUACCUCUCCUUGACUCCUAGCAUCUGCAGCUACCUCCCCAC
rnacentral:lncRNA from 10 species